rnacentral:lncRNA from 1 species
AAAUACUUACUUCAAACUAAAAAUAUAAAAAAAAUUAAAUUUAAAAAUUAUUUAUAUAUAAUUUAAUAUACAAAAAUUUGCAUGCAAAUAAAAAUUAUAAAUGAAAAAAAUUUAAAUAUAUUAUCCGCGCAUAGCGCGGAAAAUGAUGUAAUAUACAUAAUACUUAUAUUAAGAACUCCGAAAGAACCCAUUGAAAGUGUUUUUAGGCCGCAGCGACAAGCUCUCACCUCGUCUCUCACCAGUUUAAUAUUGAAAUUAAAUGAAAAAAAUAGAAAAAAAGUGACAUUGAAUGAAGUACGUACCUGCAAGAAGAAAU